UACGUAGGGUCCGAGCGUUGUCCGGAAUUAUUGGGCGUAAAGGGCUCGUAGGCGGUUCGUCACGUCGGGAGUGAAAACUCGGGGCUUAACCCCGAGCCUGCUUCCGAUACGGGCAGACUAGAGGUAGGCAGGAGAGGGAAGCGGAAUUCCCGGUGUAGUGGUGGAAUGCGUAGAUAUCGGGAGGAACACCAGUGGCGAAGGCGGCUUCCUGGACCUGUUCUGACACUGAGGAGCGAAAGCGUGGGGAGCGAGUCCGG
rnacentral:rRNA from 1 species